rnacentral:rRNA from 1 species
UACGUAGGGUGCAAGCGUUGUCCGGAAUUAUUGGGCGUAAAGAGCUCGUAGGCGGUUUGUCGCGUCUGCUGUGAAAACGCGGGGCUCAACUCCGCGCCUGCAGUGGGUACGGGCAGACUAGAGUGCAGUAGGGGAGACUGGAAUUCCUGGUGUAGCGGUGGAAUGCGCAGAUAUCAGGAGGAACACCGGUGGCGAAGGCGGGUCUCUGGGCUGUAACUGACGCUGAGGAGCGAAAGCGUGGGUAGCAAACAGG